rnacentral:rRNA from 1 species
UACGAAGGGGGCUAGCGUUGCUCGGAAUUACUGGGCGUAAAGGGAGCGUAGGCGGACAGUUUAGUCAGAGGUGAAAGCCCAGGGCUCAACCCUGGAAUUGCCUUUGAUACUGAUUGUCUUGAGUGCGGGAGAGGUGUGUGGAACUCCGAGUGUAGAGGUGAAAUUCGUAGAUAUUCGGAAGAACACCAGUGGCGAAGGCGACACACUGGCCCGUUACUGACGCUGAGGCUCGAAAGCGUGGGGAGCAAACAGG